UUCCCUUUGAGUGUAUUAUAAUUUUGUGAUAAAAAUUUCAAGGAGAAAAAAAAAAAAACACACAACCUCCUUCCUCUGCCUCUUUCCUUCGGGGAGGGGAAAAGCGAGGGAGGGGGGGCUGGAGAUCUGUCUCCAGACAGACAGAAAAGAAAGAGGAGCAAAUUAAACACCGAGUUGCCAAAACCAGGAUAUUAGGUUUCAGCCCAGAGAGCUAUUGGCUAAGGCUGUGUUUUUUUUUUGGGGGGGGGGGGGGGUUUGUGGGUGGGUGAUGGUGGUGGUGGGUGGAUGUUUAAUGGACACGGAGAAAAGGGGAAUCGGGUGUUUAUGCCUUUCCCAGCGCCGCCGGGGCUCCGGGAAGACCAAGUUCAGUGUCUCGGGCGGGGGCGCAGGCGGGCAGGGGGCGGCGAGGCCGGGCCGGGGGCACCUCGGCGGGGUGGGGGCCCGGCGCCUUUCUUUUUCCUUUUUUUUUUUUUUUUCUUUUCCGCGGAUGCAAAUUUCUGGAGCGGGGAGAGGGAGAGCCCGGGAAGGGGGUGGCGUGGCGGUUGGUGGUGGGGAGGGGAGGGGAGGGAAGCCUUUUAAUGACUCAUUGAUUGAGCCGGUUUAAAAUUAGUUGUGUGCGCGAGCGUGAGUGUGUUUUCCGCCCCCCGGAGCCGCCGGGAGCCGGGAAGGAGGGAGCGGGGCUCGGCGAGGGGAAGACGGCGCGGCGGGGCCGCGAGCAGGGGGCAGGGAGGGCCUGGAGUGACGGCGGGCGAGGAAGAAAAAUAAGCUUUUCCAAUCUCCACCCCUCUGUUUUCCCCCCCUCGUUUCUUUUCUCUCUCGGAAGCUCUAGGGUGUGAAUCAUAUUUUCUUUCUUCUCGGCAAAAUGGACCCCGCGUCUGGGGAGGGGGAGGGGAGAGGGUGGGGAGGGAGGCGGCGGGGACGAGGUUUAUUUUUCAUCCUGGCUUCCUCCUUCCCGCCGCAUCUGCCGGAGGCCGCGGCGAGCAGAGCGGGUCCGGGCUGCGGCAGGGAGAGCUCGGGGCCGGCGGGUCGCCCCGGCCCGGCUCCCGCUCCCGCUCCCGCUCCGAGCCCGCGGCGGCGGCGGCGCGCACCUGCCGGCGGGACUGCCCCUUCCCAGCCGCCUCGCUGACUUCCCGAAGCUCCGCCGAGGAUCCGCGGCCGGGUCGGGGCGAGCCCCCAGCCGCGCGGAGGACCCCGCGGCCCAGCCAGGCGCCUCCUGCGAGGCCCGCGCUGUCCGCCGCGCCGGCCAGAAGAGAUGAGCGGCUGGGGCGGCGCUUUUUUGGCCGAGAGCGCGCGGGCCUGACGCUGUUCGCGCCCCCCGAGUCGCCGCGAAUGCCGGAUUUUGCUUGGGUAGGGGGGUGCAGUUGGAAGGCGCUAAGAUGGCGCUGGGCCUGGCCUGUCGCCAGGGCUGGUGGCGCAGUUGCUCGGCGGGCGCCAUCUUUCUCGCGGCGCGGGCGGCGCCCUCCGAGGACAUUUUGCUGACCAGGGCGCCGCGAGGCCGGGGGCCAGCGGGAGCCGGGAGCAGGGUGCUGAAUUCUGGAGAUGGGGCCGGAGUCGCCCGGCCUGCUCCUUCCCCAAGCCCCCAGACCCAAAAGACGAGGCCGGCUUGGAGCGGGAAGGGCUGGGGCCAACUUCUUCCUCCUUCCCACUUGUGAUGGAAGAAGGGGGCUGAGGGUCGAGCCUCGAGACUGAUGGGUUCCCUCCCUAUUUGACCCCGCACCCCCACUGCCCCCAGUCAAAAUUGGAGGUGAGGAGCUCUAGCCAUCUUCUCUCCUGCUGCCUGAGAGUGGACGCCUUUGUCUUCCGUGGCCCGGCACGGGGCAGGGCAUUGAGGCUUUGCCUUCAUCCUCCUCCAGUUAUUGUUGAAAGUAGAGUCCAUUUAGAUUACAAAAGUAAAAAAAAGAGUCGAGGACGGUGUGUAUGCCCUCCGGUAACAUGGUUCUCUACGGGUACCCUACUAUUCGUUUCUUACUUUAAAACAACCCUGGGGAGACAUUUACUAGUUGUCAGAUUGUGGGAAGGCAAUGGGUUCCAGUUUUUUGAAACUUCUUGUUGUCUUUUAUAUUACUUCAAAUGGCAGUGAAUCAAAACAGUUUCUUAGGACUCUGAUCUUUCAAUAUGCUUUAAAACACUCUGAAAGUCUUCCUUUUCUAAAAAAGCAUCCGUCUAAAGUAUCUGUUGGUAGUAUCUAUUAGAGAUGGGGGAGGGGUUUUAAACUUUUACAUUGUUACUGACAAGAGGAGGGGAAAGGUCUGUAAAGCUCUGAUCUCUCUAGAAAUCCACAGACAUGGAAAGUAAGUAGUUAAUUUCUAAGAGAGGAAAGUAACACAGUGGUGCCACUAGGUGUGUCCUUGUGUUUAUAAAUACACAGUGGAUAUUUUAGACCAUUUAAAAAGACCGACCAUAUAUUGAACACCUUCUGUAUGCCAGGAACUGUGCUUGGUGCUUUGUAUAAUUUCUGUUUUAUCAGUCCUGGAAGAUUGAUUUUAUGAUUUGUGUACUGGGGAAUGGAUGAACGUUCAUAGAAAUACAGUAAUUAAUUGUUCGAGAUCUUGCUGUUUUAAGAGGUAAAAUUGGCAUUGGAUGAUAAAAGCUGUGUUCUUCCCUCUACACCUAUGGUUUCCAAAUCUGAGCAUCAGAAUUAACUGGGGAGAUGUUUUUGAAUAUAGAUUUGUAACGUCAUCUCUUCCACCAUCAUUUGCUAGGGCCAAUUGGGUCAUUUAAUAAUGUCUCAGGCAAUCCAACUUCUUGAUGUUCAAUAUUGAAAUUCUGGCCCACCCUGUACCCGCUGCAUCUGAAGAUCUAGUAUUCCAAAGCUCUCCAGGAGAUUCCAGUGUGACAUAGAUACACAUUUGGGCUGUCUUGUACUGUACUUGCACUGUUCUGCUGGCUCUUUUUUGAAUUGGAACAUGAGAAUUGAGGUCCAUAUCAUUUUGAGUUUCAGCAGUUUUUUGCUCAUGUUAGUCUCAUUUUUAUUUUUCCUCUUCCAGAUGCCAUUUAUCAAAUAG